rnacentral:rRNA from 1 species
GACCUGGUGGUUAUGGCGGGGUGGCUGCACCCGUUCCCUUUCCGAACACGGCCGUGAAACGCCCCAGCGCCUAUGGUACUUCGUCUUAAGACGCGGGAGAGUCGGUCGCUGCCAGGUCU